rnacentral:lncRNA from 1 species
AAAAAAAACAAUGCUGUAUUUUAAAGAAAGUCAAAGGUAGCUUCAUCCAUGAUAAAAAGGUGAGAAAACUGAGAUCCAGUGGAGUUAAUCAACUUGUCUAUGAUCACAUACCUAGUUUAUGGUGGAGAAAAGACUGAGGUUUAGAGACUGAUUCAUAAAACCGAGCUCUUUCUAUGAUAUCGGAAUAUCAGAUAAAUCAAUAAACUCCCAACUAGAUGAAAUCUUAUAGUCUUG